AUUAAUCCCAUAUGUUCUGUUACUCCAUUUACACGUUUCUCGUUUUACGCGGGUUCAAUUGACCGUGUAAAUCGGGGUAUUGCUGUAAAUAACCCAGAGUUUGCAUCACAUUAAAACAAAUCUGACCAAUGGCUAUCGGUGGCUAUUUGAUGGAUGUCAUUAAAGUGAUUUGUUUUAAUCGUAUAUAAGGAGAUGGUGUUAAUUUACAUCAUCGUUAUAGUGAAAUAUCACAUCUCGGGCUUUACCUGUAUAAAGGUGUUUGUCUUGGCAGGUGAAGUGUGUUGAAGCAGCAUUAAAGGAAACUGGUCAGAAGGAACAAGUGGCAGAGUUUGAGAACAUUGUGAGAAGUCUUCAGGAAACCAACAUAAUUUCUGAUAAGACUCUAGAUAUGAUCCUGUCAGAGCCCAUUGAUGCAUUUAAGAAGCAUGAGAACACGAGACAAGACAAGGCGAUGCUAGCGUCAUUCCACGGUAAAUAUCAAGGGAGGGGACAGACCCGCAGUCGCCCACACCGGAGACAAGGCUGCUGAUAUGGAGUAGUACAUGUUAAAGUUAGAGCCAGUCAUGCCAGUGUUACAGUACAUCAGAGCAACAAUCAGGCAUUAGUUCUAUACAUUGUUUAAUUCUCCAUAUUUUAUUGUACUGUACAGUGUAUACAUGUUAAAUAGUUACCAUAAGUCACUGCAUAAAUCAUCAGAAGUUACUAUAAGCAAAAUAGGAAAAAUAGGUCAUUAUAACAGAAGCAGAAUUAGAUAGUUAUAGAGCCUUUUUGUCCUCUGUAAAACUGUUACUAAAGUGGCAUGCCACCCAUCUCUUACCCUCGAGGUGAGCCCAGUGUAGCAAGCUGUCCUUUGCCAUGAGCAUAUGUUUACAAACACCUCUAUCAUACUAUUAUUUAAGGCAGAGAGAGCACCCACAUAACCAUUUACAAAG